UACGUAGGUGGCAAGCGUUGUCCGGAUUUACUGGGCGUAAAGAGCGCGCAGGCGGCCAAGUCAGUCGAAUGUGAAAGCCCCCGGCUUAACUGGGGAGGGUCAUUCGAUACUGCUCGGCUCGAAGACAGGAGAGGGAAGUGGAAUUCCCGGUGUAGUGGUGAAAUGCGUAGAUAUCGGGAGGAACACCAGUGGCGAAGGCGACUUUCUGGCCUGUUCUUGACGCUGAGGCGCGAAAAGCUAGGGGAGCAAACGGG
rnacentral:rRNA from 1 species